GUGCAAUGAUGUGUGAAUUUCUUCACCUGAUAUUACUGUGAAGAGUAAAAUCGAGCUUUUUAACCCUGAGUCACA
rnacentral:snoRNA from 1 species